GAUGAAGAACGUAGCGAAAUGCGAUAAGUAGUGUGAAUUGCAGAAUUCAGUGAGUCAUCGAAUCUUUGAACGCACAUUGCGCCCUUUGGUAUUCCAAAGGGCAUGCCUGUUCGAGCGUCAUUUGUACCCUCAAGCUUUGCUUGGUGUUGGGCGUCUUGUCUCUAGCUUUGCUGGAGACUCGCCUUAAAGUAAUUGGCAGCCGGCCUACUGGUUUCGGAGCGCAGCACAAGUCGCACUCUCUAUCAGCAAAGGUCUAGCAUCCACUAAGCCUUUUUUUCAACUUUUGACCUCGGAUCAGGUAGGGAUACCCGCUGAACUUAAGCAUAUCAAUAAGCGGAGGA
rnacentral:misc_RNA from 1 species